UCGGCUGGGCGCGAGGUCGCCGUCGCCGCCAGCGCGGCCGCCGCACCGGCACCCGCCGGCGGGCCGCCCGAGUGGAACGCGGGCCCGGAUGGAACGCCGGGGAACCCGGAGGAGGGGCUCUGGUCGCCGGGAACGAGGCAGGCGGCGGGGUUUGGAGACAGAAAACUUAUCACAAGAUGCGGCCACCCUGGACCUGCAUUCCUACAGAGCAACAGGGGCAGAGGCGCCCUAUAGCCGGGCCGCGAUGAAGCAGGUUGCCCACCGCUGAGUUCAGUGACCGUAAAGUUAGCCAGCAUGGAUUGAGAUGCGGCCCCGUGCUGGGCCUGCAUACACAGUGCUCCCUUGAUGCUCACGACGCCCCCGUGACGGCAGGACCUUGCAGAGAAGGAAACCAGCUGCUCGUCUGAGGUCACGUGGUGUGAGUGGCAGGGCUGUGAUUUACCAACGCUGACAGCAGCAAGGUCCAACAGCCAGUGGGCAGGGAACACUCUAUGUAGGCCAAGCCCCGCAGUUAAUGCGGGACACACCAGUUCACCGGAUCCCAACUCACCCUGUACAGCGGGCUCUACCAUGGCCCCAUUUUACAGAGGAGGAAACUGGGGCUGAGAGGGGAGGUCAUUCACUGGGCUUCCCAACAGGUAAGGUGUCCAGCCAGGACUCAAACCUCUACCUGCCCAAGCUUGCAACGACUGCCUAUGAUUUUACCUGGACCAUGUUACACUGCAGUUAUGGCACGUGGAAGCCUUAAAUAUAUGGAUGCCAACACACAGCCAUCUGAGCUACAUGGGUAAUUCUUUCCACCACCUUGGCCUAGAAAUCAGCGGGUGCCAGGAGAGGGGCAGGUCCGUCCCUCUUUUGGUCUCCCAUAGUCUAGGUGCUCCUAACACGUAAAGUUAUUUAUUUCUAUCUACCAACAUCAUCUGUUCAUCAAGUAAAGAUACGGUGAACUUGACAAUGAUGAAGGAAAAGGUGAGGUGUCCUCACUAAGAACUAGUAGGGAAGUGUGCUUUCAUGGCCCACUUUCAAUACAAGGAACAAAAGAGCAGAUAUGUCUGAAUAUAAGAAAGUAGCCAGUGUAAACUUCCAUGUCAGAGUUGAUGAAAAUAGUCAUGCGAACUUCCCAACAAGUGAGUGCAGAGGUGCUGGUUCACCCAGAUGCUCUCUGGAAGGGAACCGGCAGUGCUGAGGUCCCUGAGGAAGGGGAACGGGGCAGCUAGAGGAGGGAGACUCUCUCUUCCUUUCCACCCCUGUUUUGUUUGCUGCUUCUCCCUCCAUCUCUGGUCCCACAUCUAAUCCCAGGCCUGCAGGUGCCCACUCUGAGGCACUGGAUGUGUCCUUAAACGGCAUCCGUGAGAAAUCCGGAGUGCUUGUGUGGAUGUGGGUUGUUAAAAGAUGCUUGAGUUUGCUGGGGCUGUCAACCUUGUUUGGUUUCUCACCUUUUUCACUUACAUUUUGUUUUUAUUUUUUUUUGGCCACCCCGCGUGUCAUGUGGGAUGUUAGUUCCCCAACCAGGGAUCAAACAUGUGCCCCCGGCAGUGGAAGCGUGGAGUCUUAACCACUGGACCACCAGGGAAGCCCCCAAGAAUCUGUUUUUAAAGGGAGUUUUACUUUCCGGUGAAUAAUGUUUUGUACUAUUUGAAUUUUUUUUUUUUUUUUACCACGUGCAUAAAUUAUACUUUCAAAAGCAAAGACUCAAAAUAAAUGAAAGGUGAAAAAUAAGUGAAGAGCUGAAGUAUGUAAAUGAUAAUCUAAAACAGCAGGUCCUCCUUGGCCCACUUUCUCCCAAAUUGCUCCCCUUAAAACCUCCAGACCGGGACUUCCCUGGUGGUCCAGUGGUUAAGACUUUGCCUUCCAAUGCACAGAGUGCGGGUCGCGGAUCUGAGGGCCCACAUGCCUCAGGGCCAAAAACCUCCAGACCGGUGAGUGGCACCGUCCCGGGAGGCAGGCAGACGGCCACCUCCUCUCCUUGGACUCAGGAGGGAGGCCAAGCGGGGGCGGACAGGCGAGGGGCGAGGGACACUUACGGGCCUCUGGGCAGCAGCACUUUUCGGGGCAGCAGGGGCACCUGACGUAACAGCAGCAGGUGUGGGGGCAACACUGACACCAGCAGAUGCCCAGCAGGAGGAAGACAAGGAAGGCAGCCAGGCAGACCACGACCACGAACAGCCAGUCUGCGGAGAGACAAGAGCCGGCCCUGAGCUGGGAGGCCGGGGAGGGCACAGGGAUGCGGGCACCGGGGGCAGUGCGGAGUGAGGGUGGGGCAGGGGCCCUCUGCAGAGCUCUCCGGGAAGCUGCAGCUCUCGCUGGAGUCUCCGCACCAGGGGCUGGGGCGCAGCUGCAGAGGGACGCCCGCUCCUCUACAACACGGGCCGGCCCCAAAGUUAGGGAGCUCGCCCCAGGCUCAUCUGGACGAGGCAGUGAACACAAGGCGACCCGGCCAGAGCAAGAUAGGCUGUAGCCUUGAGAGAGGACAGAGAGCCAGCUGCCCAGAUCCCGACCCCCAGAAGGGCACUGCAGGCACCAGUCACAGGAGCCCCCUGCCUACACCCCAGGCCCCUCGUCAGCCAGCCCAGCCCACCCCACGGCCCAGAGCCAGGUCACUAGAUGCGCCGGAGUCGGAGUCAGGCGGCGUUUUUAGUGGGGUCUGAGUGAGCGGCGUUUAGGGCGGGGGAGAGUACUCGGACAGAAGCGGUAAGUGGUACAUGGGGGACUCCACCCGCCCUACCUUCCAUGGGCCCCGCCUGAAAACCGGGUAAGAGCUCAGCCACCCCAGAGGUCCUGCCUGGAGGGACAAAAGAGAGACAGAUUAUGCUGCCCCUGCCCUGAAGCCCAGCUCCGGGGUCAUCAGGGUGGAGGUAUGCCCUGCAGAAGAGGUGGGGUCGGUGGACUAGCAGGGUCCGAGCAUGUGGUUCCUCCCCCAUCCCCCCAUCCUAUGUGGGUGCUGUUUUCCAGAAGAUUUCCAUCACGUAAUUCACUCACUCUCUCCCGCCAUGGGGGAUUCUAUUGCCCAGAAGGGUUCCAGGAUGUAUCCCAUGGGUUCUGAAGGAUCGACCUUAGUUUGGGACUCCAUCUCUUCCACACACACAGGUCCUAUUGCCCCAAAGGGUUCCAUCCCAGGUGAGAGGGGCAGUCCCUGUUCCACCAGGCACAAGAGGCACAGUAAUGCUAGGGCCCAUAGAAAUGUUUUAUUUUAAAAUCUGAAGAAAAAAAUACGACAAUACUGAAUAUAUAACAAUGACUUGUCUUUAUAACAACACAAUCAUAAAAUGUGUUUUUUUAAUCCAGAGGAAGAGGCCCUUGAAGGCGAAAGUGCCUACAACCCAUAAAAGUCACAGUAUGGCCCUGGUUCUCUGCCCACCGGGGUCCCCUACGCAAGCUUCAUGGCACAGCUAGUGUCUCGUUUAGGUGCCACCCGGCACUCUGUGCCCCGCGAGUGCUGUAUCUCAGGGGCAUCGACACACCUGGCUGUACACCAACAAAGCUCUAUCCAGAGCUCAGCACCCCAUGCCACAUGCCCCCAGAAGGUUCUAGCAUAUAAACCAGCGGUUCUCAAAGUGUGGUCCUGUCUGGGAGGCCAAGCCGCUCUCCUGAUGACACUAAGCCAUCGUUUGCCCUUCUCACUCUCCUUCGCCAGCGCUCUCCUGGUAACACUAAGCCAUUGUUUGCCCUCCUCACUCUCCUUCGCCAGUAGAGGUGCAGGCAGGGGAGCUUUCCACAGGCUCCAUCACAUGUGAUGAUGUCAUGUGCUCUGAUGGUAAUCGACUGUGUGCCGGAUUCAAUUUAUAAUAUGUUAAACAACUAUAAAUAUAACCCACAGAAACGUAAACAAAAUUUCUUUGAGCUCCUCAAUAAUCUUUUACGUGGGUCCUGUGACUAAACUUGAGACAUGCUGAUGUAGAUUGUGCAUUUUACCAAAGAACACACAGAUUUCUCUGGGUCACUGGUGCAUGCAUUCUGUCACCCAGACAUGAACUCUGUUGCAUGAUCUGAGCACCCUGGGGCGUGCUCCCCCAUCCUGUGCUCGUGCACACAUGCGUCACCUUGCAUCAUGCAUGUGAUGAUGGCAACAUCUCACAUAGAGCACACACCACGCGAGACUGUAUGUGUCGGCUGAGAACAGAGCAUCUGGCCAACGGCAGCAUCCCUUCCACACAUGGCGGGGGGGUGGGGGCUCACAGCCGGGCGGAGGCUGCUGGCGGGUACCCCAGCCUGCCCCUGAGCUUGUAGAGGCAGCCGAGCUUAAGGGGAGCAAUAACUACACAAGCCACACAGUGCCAUCCCAGCAGGGCAGAGGGCCGGCUUCCCGUGCUCUGGCAAGGGACUCCGGGGUGAGAGGUGGCUCUGGGGGUGGGGCAGAAGCCUCCUCUCAAUUAUAUACGCCAUCAACCCUCCUCGCUCACUGCCCAUCAACUCUAACCGUUUCUGUAUUUUUAAAAACGGAGACUGGGAAGAGGUAGAGUCCCCAUUUCUCUCCACUCUUAGUUCUGGCUCUGGUUUAUUUGAAAUGUUGUGGCGGGCGAGGGGUCCCUACUCUGCCUGGGGUGCAGGGUACAAAUGAGCCCAAGUGACUGGUGGUGCUGUGAGGGGAGAACAGAGCAGACGACAGAGCCCAGAGAGUGAGCCGGAGGGCAGAGAGCAGAUACAGCAGUGGCAGAAGAAGCCCCCGACCCUGUCCCUCAGGGCCCAGCCCACUCACCGAGGACGAUGAGCUCUGCGUAGGCCUCGUUGUUCCCCUGGAGGUCCUGGGCUGAGACCACAGAGCAGUAGUACACACCGCUGUCCCCCCAAGCCGUCUGUUCAAAGGUCAGGUCAGCAUCUGCGUCAGGAGGAGACGCGUGAGGGCACCUCGGGGGAGGGGUGCCUGAUGCCCGCAGCCCCUGCCAUGAGCACAUGGGGAAGGGGGCUGCAGACAGACGAGUGAAAAUUGAAUCACUCAUACCAAGGGUGCUCUACCUUUUAGGCUUGGUUCUAAACACUUAAUGCGGGGAAUUUCAAGAAGGUUGUCAGAUGGCGCUGUUACCUUCCCUGUCUUGUAGAGAAAAGAAAGAGGUCUGGUGAAAUUACUGAUGAGCUGUACAAUUGUGGCAAAAACUGGGGUGGUGGGGCUGGGACGGUCUGACUCCAGAGCCAACACUUCAGACUUACGCCUUCCUCUGUCGCAUGUCCCAAAGCAAAAGUCGACUCCCCAAGACACGACCCACCACAGAGCCUAGUGCAGACCCAGGGGCCUGGGGCCUGGAUAAGGAAGCAAAGAUAAACAGGCCAGAUUCCAGGAAUCAGGAGUCACGCAGGCAUGAGAAGGCGGGGAUGUGAGGGAGAGACUUAGACUAGUCUCUUAGACUAGUUCCCUCGUCCUCCGGCCACCAUUGGCACCCCGCUUCCAGGUCAGGCCCAGGGCUUGGGGACGCUCUGUGAAGCAGCCCGGGGCAAGGAGCCUGUUAAUUACACCAGAAAAGAAAGUGUUUCGGCACAUCCAGUUUCCUCUCUGCUCCUCAGGCCCUAAUUAGUUAAAUCCCUCCAGCCAUUCACCAGGGCAGGACAGGGUGUGAGAUGGGGCUGCGGGGCAACUCCACC